rnacentral:rRNA from 1 species
CCCUUAGAUGUUCUGGGCCGCACGCGCGCUACACUGAUGCAUUCAACGAGCCUAUCCUUGACCGACAGGUCCGGGUAAUCUUUGAAUCUGCAUCGUGACGGGGAUAGAUUAUUGCAAUUAUUAAUCUUCAACGAGGAAUGCCUAGUAGGCGCAAGUCAUCAGCUUGCGUCGAUUACGUCCCUGCCCUUUGUACACACCGCCCGUCGCACCUACCGAUUGAAUGGUCCGGUGAAGCCUCCGGAUUGCGCGGCUUCGGCUGUCGCGAGAAGUUGGCUAAACCUUACCAUUUAGAGGAAGGUGAAGUCGUAACA